GAGCAAUCUGUGUGACUGCGUACCUUUUGUAUAAUGGGUCAGCGACUUAUAUUCUGUAGCAAGGUUAACCGAAUAGGGGAGCCGAAGGGAAACCGAGUCUUAACUGGGCGUUAAGUUGCAGGGUAUAGACCCGAAACCCGGUGAUCUAGCCAUGGGCAGGUUGAAGGUUGGGUAACACUAACUGGAGGACCGAACCGACUAAUGUUGAAAAAUUAGCGGAUGACUUGUGGCUGGGGGUGAAAGGCCAAUCAAACCGGGAGAUAGCUGGUUCUCCCCGAAAGCUAUUUAGGUAGCGCCUCGUGAAUUCAUCUCCGGGGGUAGAGCACUGUUUCGGCAAGGGGGUCAUCCCGACUUACCAACCCGAUGCAAACUGCGAAUACCGGAGAAUGUUAUCACGGGAGACACACGGCGGGUGCUAACGUCCGUCGUGAAGAGGGAAACAACCCAGACCG
rnacentral:rRNA from 1 species